AAAAGAAAAUUGUUCUAUUUUUUCAUUUAUUUGGCGUGAAUUCAGUGUCACCAACCUGUGUCCAUUUGGCGGGAAGUGGAAGUAGAGCUGUAGAGCUUUUUGUUUAUUAUUUGUUGAGGUUGAGUCUUUCAUGUUCAUGACAACCUAAAAAUUUUGAUUGGAAAAUGCAUAUAAGAUAAGGGGGUGGGAAAAUGGAAAUUAGUGGCUUUUUUGCAGUUCUGUCUGUUAGUUUUGCUCUGGCUGGGUCUCUUUUGUUUAAACAAUUAUAAUCAGCUGAAAGUGGUCUACAAAAAAACCAGGAAGGAAACGUAUUAUAGCCUUGUUGUGGCUAUGAAAGGCAAAAGAAAGAUACCUAUAAAAAGUGUAUUGACUAGUUGGAAGAAACUCCACAUUGUCGAUGCAUAAUAAGAUAUUACUUUAUAAACAAAUAUCAAGACCUAGGAAUGGAACCUGGAUAAUAUAGUCAUCAAGAAGAUAGCAGGAGGUCAUGAGCAACAACAACUUCAUAAGUAUGAGAAUAUUGAGGAAAUCCAGCUCCUCGAUAUCUACUACUGGACAAACUAGAAGAUUGAAGAGGACAAAGCCUUUUGAACUAGUUUGAGUGAUAGGUGAUAGUGAAAAGCAGAGCGUAGUGCUUGUGUGCCUGUGUAUGUUAGAAUAGUGCACGAUCUUGUUAGAUUAGAUAAGAGACGCUAUAGGGUAAGCUCUUCAUUUUAAGGAACAGUAGUAAUUUAGGUUAAAUUAAAAUUGCUCAUUGGUCAGUUAUGACCAGAUUGUAAUUCUCUGAUGUUUGGCAAAAAGGGCUGAAGUCAGAAUUGCACAUCAAUAAUGUUUUGAUGAUUUCUGGACCAUAAAAAAAGUGUUGCAGACUUAAACUGUAUGUACCAAUAAAAAGAGCCGAUUUUUCUGGUCCAGAAAUCAUCAAAACAUUAUCGAUGUGCAAUUCUGACUUAAGCCCUUUUUCCCAAACAUCAGAGAAUUGCAAUGUACAAUUCAAUACAAAUGAAUCAUCAUCGUAGUGAUGAUUAUGGAAAAAAAUAUAUAUAUAUAGAAAUAUAUAUAUUUUGUGCAAUAAAAAUGUUUAUAUUUA